GUUUCCAGUUGUAAAAGUCCAACUGCAUUGAUGUUUUUUUUUUCUUCUACAGAUUCUCGGUUAUUUACCUGGUGAAGGUAAACCAGUAAACGUAACAUGUGAAGUAAAGAAAGGAGCCGCGGCAGCUCUCGGAGAAGUCCAGUUUUUCCCCAAGAGUAUUUUUGACCUGAAGUACUACCCGUACUACGGCAAACUUCGACAUGGAAACUACUCGGCUCCAGUUGUUGCUGUUCGUUUCGCCUCGGUCCAGAACGGCGCUCAAAUCCAGGUUCAGUGUAAACUGAACGGAAAAGGAAUCAUUAACGAUUCUUCCACCGACCGAUACCUGGGAAGCGUCACCUUCUCCCUGGAGGUCGGAGGUUAAAGCGGAGACACCGGUCGACGCUCUACAAAAAAAAUAAAUCACGGUUAAGUAUGUUUUUUAAUUAAAAAAAAAACCUAAUUCAUCCCUUUCCUGAUCUAUCCAAUGAACAAUCAGAGCAGAAUAAUAGAGCGACCGCUGGCGUCAUCUUGCAGUGACACAACAGAUGACGGGGCUUUUAUAAAUUCGACGCUUUAAAAAUAAGGGGUAACAUAACAAUUGAGUAACACAGUGAAAAAAAUUUGAAUAAUAUGAGGAAAUUAUUAACCGAUCUAUCUAAAAACUUCUUAUCUUCUUUUGG